UUUCUGAAAGGAGGAAUUGGCAAAUUGUUCACCAAGGUCAUCUAAGAGACUGACACGAAGCACUUCUGCCAAGAAGUGAUUUCUCCCAAAGGAAACCAGCUAUUGAAGUUCCAGGAGUAGUUAUUUUUCCCACAAGAGAGUCACUGUAUUUUCUGAAUUUAUUUGGUUGAAUAGGUGAUUACAAAGAAUAAUAGUUAUUUAUUUGAUAAGAUUAGAUUAGAUCAUUCUGAGUGUUAAUGUGACUGUUAAAAUAAAGACUUCUUAAGAAGUCAGCCAAAAUAGGGAGAGUAAAUCGUGUAGUAAACAAAAAAAAAAAAGACAAAAGAGUCUGACAACCUCAGAAAUCGCUGCUCUCAGGACUAACUCAUCAUUUCCACCAAUUUUGACAGGUAAGUUGUUUGCUAGAGGGAUACCGGGAAAUUGUCAAGAAAAACACAAAACGAGAGAGUGCCCACAGAUAAACACAUUGCGAGUUUGAGGUGUGUGUAUCGUAAAUGAUGGGGGCUGUUAUGACCUUGUGGGUUUGUGGCAGACAAAUGGGUCCACAGCUGGGGCAGAGGUGCGUUGGCCUAGAGGUGGCCUAGUUUCGUCUACAGCUGAGAGGAGCUGAGACACUGGAAUCUUCUUUGUUGCCUGAGGUGAAGUCAAGAGGUAACUGUAAAAUUCAGAGAGUUCAUUCAGAAGUCGCUGGUGUAGUGGAAGGUGCUGUCGAGUCGAUCUUCAGAGUACAUCCCAGGAAUGUACCAGGCUGCUACAAUCAGCAUUUGAGAGGAACUGGAAGACUGGCAUAUCCUUUGUUGCCCAAGAUUUGACUACCCACAAAGCCCUGCAUUCAGCAGACUCAUUCCUCACUCAGUCCCAUCAUCAGACCUCAUGGCAGGCUUUGAAGAAGAUGUGUGUUUACCUGAAGCUCCUGGCAGGAGAGAUAAGGUCAAUUUACUGUAACUCAUUCAAAGUGCUGAAGUCUUUGAUGAAGUGGCUCUCACUGCAUGGGGACACACACUUUGUUGUAGUGGUUUAUUUGUGGGAUUUCACAGCACGUCACCAGUGUUAACUGAAGUGACAACAAAGCCUGGGUUUGUAUGAAACAGCAGAGAACAGACUGGCAGAGAGUGAGGGACUGAAAGAGGAGCGUAAAAUACCCCAGUCGAUUAGAUGAGGUGUAGAGAUAGAAAACUGAUAAACCAUGAUUCUCUAUUCACAUGGAAAACUACUGUCCUGCUUUAUAAAACCACAUACAUGCAGAUCAAACAUGAAAAAUUUCAACAAUUAAU
ensembl:lncRNA